rnacentral:rRNA from 1 species
CCUACGGGGGGCUGCAGUGGGGAAUAUUGGACAAUGGGGGGAACCCUGAUCCAGCCAUGCCGCGUGUGUGAAGAAGGCCCUCGGGUUGUAAAGCACUUUCAGUGAGGAAGAACGCCUGGUGGUUAAUACCCAUCAGGAAAGACAUCACUCACAGAAGAAGCACCGGCUAACUCCGUGCCAGCAGCCGCGGUAAUAUGGAGGGUGCGAGCGUUAAUCGGAAUUACUGGGCGUAAAGCGCGCGUAGGUGGCUUGAUAAGCCGGUUGUGAAAGCCCCGGGCUCAACCUGGGAACGGCAUCCGGAACUGUCAAGCUAGAGUGCAGGAGAGGAAGGUAGAAUUCCCGGUGUAGCGGUGAAAUGCGUAGAGAUCGGGAGGAAUACCAGUGGCGAAGGCGGCCUUCUGGACUGACACUGACACUGAGGUGCGAAAGCGUGGGUAGCAAACAGGAUUAGAUACCCGUGUAGUC